AAGACUAUAGACCUGCGGAGUACCUGCGGAGGGAUCAUCAACGUAUCUAUGAUGGGGUGCGGAGCGCCCUGCUCCGGUCGAACGGCCGUGCAGCGGGUGCGCCGCCCCCGUCCCACCUCACAAACCCACUGUGAACAUUCACCGGUGGAGGGGGCUCGGUCUGCGCCGUGUCCCCGAUGCCGAAUACCCAAACUCCAGUUGCAAAGAACGUCGUGCGGACUCGGUGCCGCCUAAAACAUG
rnacentral:misc_RNA from 1 species